GCCAUUAUACACAGCCAUUGUACCAGGGCUUCAUGAAAGACUUAAGGGAAUACAAGGAAACUGCAGCAGGGGAUAACUGAAUGACCAGGAAAGCCAAGAAAAUUCUGCAUGAAUCAACUGCAGCUGAUAUGGAGGCUUCUAAGGGAAUGAAUGUAUUCUACCAGAGACAACCACAGGGCUCUGUGGUCGGCAGGAGUUGACAUCGACUCGACAACACACUUUUACUCUCAACUACCAUGUGGGAAGCAAAUGCAACCUCCACACCACUGACCGGCUGCUACACAAUACAAAACUGAGAGGCAGAAGGAGGGGCUCUUCUAAAGUCAGGAUGCUGCAGGAUCCAGUGAAGUCUGUGUGAUUUUUAAAAUGUCCCUUAGAUACCAAAAUGCCACAGGGAAGCCGUCAUUCUUGUUGAAUUAGGCAAAAAAGAUGUUGAUUGUGAUGAUUUCUACAAGAUUCAUUUCCUUAUAUCACUGAGUAGUUCUGUCCCAAACGAUGAUUUCAUAAAUGCUACCCAAAAUUACUCAAUCAAAUAAACAUUUCACAAUCUGA